UGGAAUGGCCAAGACGGGGUCAGUCGUUCUCCGCGAGAGGGCGUACUUUACAAAUUAACGACGAUUUCCCUUGCGUUUGGACACUGUCUUGUCGCUGCUUUUCGUGCUUUUGCCGCGGUUAUACUAGCAUGAGUAGUUUGUUCCGAAAUACUAGCGUUGGGAUUGCUGUUCGCCAUCAUGCAAUCGGCCCUCCGUGCCACCCCUGGGGUUUUUAAUGCCACUCGUGCCCACACUCAAGUGUUUUGAAGAAUGUAAAAUCCAGUGUGUGAUAAACAUGUGUAAAGAAACCUUUCGUAAGAAGCCAGAAGAGCUUUACAACAAUCUUGGACUGGGAGAUGGAGGCCAUCAUAAACUUCUUGUAGGAUGAGUUGCCGCAGACAGAGAUGAAAACCAUGAUGAAUGUCCGUGAGCCAGAGGCUAUGAUUUGUUUAGUACAACAAUGCGAGGGACUUAACAAAAUUGAGGCGGAAAUAUUCUUGAGGCAGUGUCGGUGCAUGGAAGAAACGGAAACAUUGGAUUAAGGAUUUAUUUCAUAGUGAAUUACACAGUCACAAAUGGAUUACACACGUUCUGGAUUAGACUAGUUUCUGCUGCAACUGACAUUUUUGCAGGUGCCCACUCGUAGGCGAUUCCUUGAUGUCUUCCUUGGAUUUUACAUGAUAUUAUGUCAUUUUCGCCAACAUCGGGUUUUGGCGCCAAGACGUUUGUUCCUAGAACAGUUGAUUUAAAUGCCGAAUGUGGACAGUUUUAAUUUAUAUCGCCGGUGUCUACCCAAACAAUUUUAGAUGCUUUCUGCUGAAUCUUCUAUUACUACUGUUUUUACUGGGGUUUCAUCGAUGUUUUUUGGUGGAGUGUGACUCUAAAGUAAUAGGCAGCUUGUUAUGCCCCCGCCAAUGCGUAAAGCAUUGCGGAGGCAUUAUGUUUUACCAAUGUCCGUCAGCCGGUAGGCGUCAGGCGUCUGUAAACUUUUCGUUUCCUCUCAUUUUAACAAGAACGCUUUGAGUAAUAACCAUGUAACUUUUUAUGUGGGUAGAAAAAGAUAACGUGCACAGCGGGCAUUACAGACCAAUAACUCUUUCACAAUGUCAACUAAACCAAGUCAGCUAUGACACCAGCUGCCCGGGGUUGUCUGAAAAACACUUCACUUUCCUAAUACACCAACUCAAAGUGCUCACCGGGGCAUAUGCUACGCCCUGCGUUGCUCUUGUUAUUGCAGUAUUUUUGUUCUUCCUCUGGUUCACCUAUAAACUAUUUUUCCAAUCUCCAAUCAUGUUUGAUGCUUUAGCCAUUUUGUUUCAGCUCUUAACGUGUUAUUCAUUAUUUCUGGUAGCAUAAGUCCUGGCACGAAAUACCUUUCCCGUCAUAAUAUCAGUACCAAGACGUCACAGGGUAGGUCCUACUCCAGGAAACGCCUUACUCGUGCACUGUUCCACGUGAAAAGGGUCACUGCUUGGAGAGCUAAAUGGGUCAACAUCAGAAAAGCGCGAUAAUUCAGUCUUUGGAAUUUUUCCUUUUUUUGUGCAAUUUGUUGAUGGAAACUACUUAUGUAGAACAGGAGGUGACUGGGCAGCGGACAGCUGGGUAAUAUUGCCCUUAACCCCUCGCCUCCCUGGAGGGGACGAUAUAUCGUCCCUGUAUUUUGUCUCGCGUAGGCGGUACGAUAUAUCGUCCCUAUACUAAUGCUUUAGUAUAGAACUCUCGGUACACGUUAGACGCUAUUGUACAGUGUAUUCGUGUCCCUGGUGAUCUGCAGAAGACUAGAUUUAGUUUCAUUCAUAGUUUACAGAGGGCGCUGCAGUUUGAUUGGCGCUUGUGCAGCGUCACAGUACAAGAACUGAUUAGCAUAUAAAUUAAUAUUAUGUUGUAUUAUUCGAUCAAUCAGUAAUAGACAAUAGUCAGUCAAAGGUUAUCAAUCAAGUUACGUUGAUCAUUAACAGGUUGUAACUGCAUCAAUUACAGUUCCAUAUACUUUGUUCAAAUCAGAAAAAUCAAUCAAUUAGAGCAAAAUCAAUCCAAAAAUAUUGAUUAUUACUGAUUAUUGAUUACCUCUUACCUAAUUGAUACCCAGAAACAACGCCAAUUGAUAGCCAAGGUAAUCAGCUUUACGAAAAUGUAUGGUUUUAUUAGUCGUACUUCCACCUAUCAAAUCCCCGUGUCUUUUGCGCUUACACCUAUGAAUUGUCGUGUCUAAAUAGACCUGUGUGUCAAAUCCCCGUGUCUAUUAGCCCCAUCGAGCUUGAUGCGGCCAAUCGGGGGCUAAUUUAGACCUGUGUUCAACACAGGUUUUUGAUAGGUGGAAUCUGAAUAGACACAGCAAUUGCAAGUUCUAAGAUCCGGCGACAGAUGGCGCGGUGUAGUUACCGCGGUAUUGCGCAUGCGAAAUUCCCCUCCAACGGGAAAGAAACACAGGAGAGCUCCCUACCUACAGCGCACCUGUCGCCGGGGUUAUUAAUCAUUAUCUAACACAACUGAUAGGUGCAAGUGCGCCGCAGGUUUUUUGACACACGGCGAAGACACGGGUCUUGAAAAAACACGGGGUUUUAUCAUAGGUGUUCUGUAGGGACUGUAUAUUGAUAUAACUCCUCAACCUCUUAAACAAAACAACGUUUAUUUCUCCUUGCUUGCUACAAAAUCAAUCAAACUUUACAAAUGUUCAUCGCACGUGCUCUCAUGGGUGGGCGCGGACAUCUUAAACUCCUCGCCAUUACUCGUUGUUGUCGUCGUUACACAUACAACCGUCUCAACCAAAUACACAACAAUAGGUGGAACUAUGACUAUAAAUCAAGGAUGCAUAAUGAAGGAGGUACAAUAUUUAAAAGUAUUUUUACGUUAUUUUGCAUAAAACUGGUAAAAAAUCUCGGUACAUCGCGUUACAUAGGCCUCGGGAGCCAAAGGGUUAAUAAUGCCUAAGGUCCUUUAAUAAUUUUGGUACCAAACCAAGUGCUUGAAGUGGUUGGAAUACCAUAACCUAUGCAGACACGUGAGGGCCAUUUACACGGAACCAGUGAUCUUGACCGAUCUUGACCGAUCCAGAUCAUUCUAGAUUGGUUUGCUGCGUUUAUCCUCUUGACUCCCAAAACUUGAAAAUCACGGGAUCCCAGGGUGGUCACGUGGUUGCGAAAAUUGGGUCUGACGUUCACGAUGUAUGGCGCCCGCAUACAACCACCAAAGUCCGGUGACGAGGCACCAUCUACCCAGGCAUGCUCUAACUGACCCUACUGUACAUCAAACACGCUAAAACCAGCAAUAAAAUAGCGUCCCAGCUCAAGGGAAUAAAAAUAUUACUGAGACCGACCUGUCGGUCGUUGGGGAAAAAAACAUUAUUUCAAAAUGACCGACUGGUCGGUCACCGGGAUUCAAGAGGUUGACUGCACACCAUUGGUCAUUCGCAAGAAACACAGGCCCAAAUUCAUAAAGGGCGUUUAAGGGUUAGACAUGUACAACUUCUCUCUAAUCAGUUUCAGGGCCUAUUCAUAUUCUGUGAAGAUUCACAUCAAGGGCCAGAAUCUGUCUACUCAGUAGUUAAACGCUGUUUUAAGCUAAACACCCUUUAUGAAUUUGGCCCCAUAUGUUUAAGUUUUGAAUAUAAAGUUAAAAUAAAAGAUUGAGGUGUGUCGUGUAAUCAAGCAAUGUGCGUAUUCAUUUACGCGACACUCGUUAAUCAUCUUCUGUAAUAAUUUGUUUGAGUAAUCUUGGAAAGUUUUGAAAAAUGGCGUCCAUUACAUUUACAUUCUCAUCUCAACAGAGCCCUUUGACGAGAGAUAAUGGCUUUUUCUGGCAUUUAUCUGAAAAACUUGACUUUCCUGAGAAACAUGACAGUGCCCAAGUUGUAGGGUAAUUACACAUUUCUUCAAGUCCCAAGAUAACAUUCAUUGAGUUAAGUUGAAAUCAGCAUGACAGUGAACUGAAUGGCUGCAGGAAUUUCCAGCAAGUACUUGUACCGGUAAUAUUUUUCUCUGACAACAACCGUUUUUGGGCCUUUUGAGCUUAUUAUAUAUGAGAGUAGUAGACAGAUCAAGUUGUUUGAAAUGACUGACAUAAUUUUAAAAGCCCUUGUCCUGCAAUUGCCACCGUGGUAAUGUACCUAAAGUGCCCCAGCCACAUAUGUACAAAUGAUAAUCAUGUUUGGCAAAAUUAAAUGUGUGGUGAAUAUUGAAAGUUCAAGUGUGAACAUAUUAUGUAAAAGUGUGGAAUUACACAGCGAGAACUGUAUAAUCCCAGUAAAUGAUUUUUAUACAUAUUGAAGUCAUGAAGUACGGCAGCAGAUUAGUGCCAUAAAAAAUAUAAAAAAUAAAAUAUUAUCUCGUUAUUACGAGAUCUUUUCUCGUUAUUACGUGAUGUUAUCUCGUUAUUACGCGAUCUUUUCUCGUUAUUACGCGAUCUUUUCUCGUUAUUACGAGAUCUUUUCUCGUUAUUACGCGAUGUUAUCUCGUUAUUACGAGAUCUUUUCUCGUUAUUACGCGAUCUUUUCUCGUUAUUACGCGAUCUUUUCUCGUUAUUACGAGAUGUUAUCUCGUUAUUACGCGAUGAUGGUAUAUGGUACGGACCUUUCCCGCGCUUGAUCCUGAGCUUUAGGUCUCGUUAGGGAGUUUUUCCCAAAUGUACGCGAUGAUGACGUGUCCCAUUAACAGGACGUAACAUCUAUUUUAAAAUGCGUUUCCAAAGUGAAUGCAUGAGGACAACCCAUUUGUAUCGUAUAUCACUGGAAACGCCUGAUUCCCCUGAUUCUGCAGGAUGUUAAAUCGGGCAUUUUAUUUCUUUAAAUAAAUCAUAAGCGUCGCAUUUGCUCCUAGCUCUGCACCAUCCCAAAUGGCAAUAUUGCCAAUUGGGCCGGACAAUCACGAAAAACCCCAAAUAUUAUACAUUUCUUCCUGAAUAAUUCUUACAGAGACCAUUCUCCCAUGAAAGACAGUUGCUUACGCUACACAAAAAUUAAAAAAAAUCGAGGGUCAACCAUUGAACUUUUGAGAUGUGUUGAAUUUUGCACAAAUCAGCGAAAAACGCACCAACUGGGACUGGACGGCAUUUCAACACGGGGCCGACGCACAUCCCAAGUUCAGUGUACACAUACGUCGGCAACAACAGUAUAAAUGCGUAGUUUCUUGUUAGUCGCCUAUUGAGUAGCGCUCUAGGUUUCAGAAACUCCAAAAAAACAUGUCUUUGCCAAAACAACUGCUGAAUCAACGCUGACAUACUGUGAGGACCGAGAAAUCAAUGAUUUUAGGAACUACGGUUAGGGCUUGGCCGCGCAUGAAUGAAAAAAAAAACUCCCUAAUGAGACCUUAAUCCUCGAUGUUGCGUGCACUUUCGCAUCUCGUAAUAACGAGAAAAGAUCUCGUAAUAACGAGAUAACAUCUCGUAAUAACGAGAAAAGAUCGCGUAAUAACGAGAAAAGAUCUCGUAAUAACGAGAUAACAUCGCGUAAUAACGAGAAAAGAUCUCAUAAUAACGAGAAAAGAUCUCGUAAUAACGAGAUAAUAUUUUAUUUUUUAUGGCACUAAUCUGCUGCCGUAAUGAAGACUGUGAGUGUGAAUUUUAUCGUGAUACUUAAAGGCAGAAAGGGAAUUGAAGAUACAGUGGAACCUCCCUUAGCAGAUACCUCUCUAUGAAGGACAACCUCACUAUUAAGGACACUAGUUUUGGUCCCAAAUUGGUACUUUCCAUUCAAUAUGGCCUCUCUAAUCAGGACACCUCUCUAUUAAGGACAGCAUUUGGCAGUCCCGAUGGUGUCCUUAAUAGAGAGGUUCUACUGAGUGACAAAAAUUGUAUUUUUUCCUAAUGUUAAGUCGGGAUCGUGGGAUUAUUGAUUUCUGCCCGUUUCUAGUAUUGUGAGGAUGUAUUUGGUCAUUUGUUUUGAUGCAUGAAUGAAGUAACCCAGAUCGCAAUUAUUGAAAAAUUUGUGUAGAAACUUCAUUUGUAGUAGAGUGUGUAUAUCUGUUACUUCUAAUGAUUUUAAAGUCUUGAAUAAGGGUUUGGUGUGGGCAAUGAGCAGAGCAGAUAAUAAUAAUUAAAUGACCUGAAAUCUA